rnacentral:tmRNA from 1 species
GGGGCUGAUCGGUUUCGACUUCGGUCGUGGCGGUCAGGAGAAGCGGGUCGAGAAGCCAAGGUCAUCUCGUAAACGUUCCUUGGAAACCAACAAGUGCCGAUAACAGUCGCACUUCGUUCGCCCUCGCCGCCUGAGCGGCCGGUGAACCGUCAGACCGGAUGUGUCUCCGUUCCGGAGCCUGGCGUCAUCUAGGAGACUUGCUGCUCACGUCCGGUCGCGGGGCGUGAGUGGGACAUCAACAGCGACUGAGCCUGUCGGUGACGUGUCCGUCCGAGCACCGGGGCUGAGAACAGCGAUCUGACGGACUGCACCCGGAGAAGACCUGAACGGACGUCGAAGGACGCGGGUUCGAUUCCCGCCAGCUCCACCA